rnacentral:tRNA from 1 species
GGCCUCGUAGCUCAGCUGGUAGUGCGUGCACGUACAAAGCGUAGGCGGUGUCCAUGCGUGGGUUCGAAUCCCACCGAGACCA